GAUGAACGCUAGCUACAGGCUUAACACAUGCAAGUCGAGGGACCGGCGCACGGGAGAGUAACACGUAUUCAACCUGACCGUUACUCGGGGAUAGCAGUUCGAAAGAAAGACUAAUACCAGAUAUAAAGGAUGGGGCUGCGUUCCAUUAGGUUGUUGGUGAGGUAACGGCUCACCAAGCCUUCGAUGGAUAGGGGUUCUGAGAGGAGGGUCCCCGACAUGGGAACUGGGACCAGAUCCACACUCCUACGGGAGGCAGCGGUGAGUAAUAUUUGGCAAUAGGCGUUAGCCUGAACCAGCCACGUAGCGUGAAGGAUGUACGCUUAUGAGUCGUAAUCUUCUGUUAUAUAAGAAUCUGUAUUAUAUGAAUAAGGAUCGGCUAACUCCGUGCCAGCAGCCGCGGUAAUAC
rnacentral:rRNA from 1 species